AGUCGAACGAGAAUCUACUGAAAGAGUUUUCGGACAAUGGAUGUAGAGGAAAGUGGCGGACGGGUGAGUAACGCGUGAGGAACCUGCCUUGAAGAGGGGGACAACAGUUGGAAACGACUGCUAAUACCGCAUAACGCAUAGGGGUCGCAUGAUCUUUAUGCCAAAGAUUUAUUGCUUCAAGAUGGCCUCGCGUCUGAUUAGCUAGUUGGCGGGGUAACGGCCCACCAAGGCGACGAUCAGUAGCCGGACUGAGAGGUUGAACGGCCACAUUGGGACUGAGAUACGGCCCAGACUCCUACGGGAGGCAGCAGUGGGGAAUAUUGGGCAAUGGGCGCAAGCCUGACCCAGCAACGCCGCGUGAAGGAAGAAGGCUUUCGGGUUGUAAACUUCUUUUAAGAGGGAAGAGUAGAAGACGGUACCUCUAGAAUAAGCCACGGCUAACUACGUGCCAGCAGCCGCGGUAAUACGUAGGUGGCAAGCGUUGUCCGGAUUUACUGGGUGUAAAGGGCGUGCAGCCGGGUCUGCAAGUCAGAUGUGAAAUCCAUGGGCUCAACCCAUGAACUGCAUUUGAAACUGUAGAUCUUGAGUGUCGGAGGGGCAAUCGGAAUUCCUAGUGUAGCGG
rnacentral:rRNA from 1 species